AGCAUUCUAUUGAGGCUUCCCCAAAGGUGGAUGUCCUGGAUAGUGACCGUAUGGUGGCUCAUGUGCUGGAGGCUCAUAAACUGGUGGUUUAGGUUUUGGCUUUUCUUCCUUUGGUGGUGCAUAAACUGGUGGCUUAGGUGGUUUUGGCUCAUAUAUUGGUGGGUUGUUGGGAGGUUGAUACAUUGGUGGCUUGGGUUCUGGUUUUUCUUUCUUUGGAGGUGUAUAAACCGGUGGCUUUGGUGGCUUAGGUUCGUACAUUGGAGGUUUUUUUGGAGGUUCAUACAUUGGUGGUUUGGGUUCAGGUUUCUCUUUCUUUGGAGGUGUAUAAACCGGUGGUUUUGGUGGCUUAGGUUCGUACAUUGGAGGUUUUUUUGGAGGUUCAUACACUGGUGGUUUGGGUUCAGGUUUCUCUUUCUUUGGAGGUGUAUAAACCGGUGGCUUUGGCUCGGGCUUCUCCUUCUUUGGAGGUUCAUAUACGGGUGGUUUGGGUUCAGGUUUCUCUUUCUUUGGAGGUGUAUAAAUCGGUGGUUUUGGCUCAGGUUUCUCCUUCUUUGGAGGUUCAUAUACUGGUGGUUUAGGUUUAGGCUCCUCUUUCUUUGGAGGUGUAUAAACUGGUGGCUUUGGCUCAGGCUUCUCCUUCUUUGGAGGUUCAUACAUUGGUGGUUUGGGUCCAUGCUUCUCUUUCUUUGGAGGUGCAUAAACCGGUGGCUUAGGUUCAGGCUUCUCCUUUUUUGGUGGUUCAUACACUGGUGGCUUAGGUUCAUAUGGUGGUGGUUUCACCUUGGGAGGCUUGAAUACAGGAGUAGGGGGUUUCCCAUAAUUUGGUGACUCAUAGGUACCAAAUGUGGGAGUGGUGAGAGUCACCACUCCAAGUAGGAAUACUAGCAAGUGUGUUGUAGACAUCAUUGAGUCUUGGCUUUCCAUGGUGCCAUGAGAAGGGUUCUUUUUAUAGUAGUUUUGGAGCGCUGUUGUUAGCGCAUAUGUCAAAAAAUUUAUUUGUUUACGUACCUUUGUAAAUAGUCUGCUAGAUGUUAUUAAAUCUUUUAAAUUAUUCAUGAAUGUAAUAGGGUCCAUUUAGGUACAAGUUAGUUGAAAUUUUGGACUAUGGAUACGCAAGACUGAGUCAUGAUUGAAGAAAAUUAUAAAAUAUAUCAUAGGUUCUUAUACUUUUCAAAAAUUUAGAAUUUAAUUCUUAUAAUUUUAUUUUUAAAUUUUAGGUCUUACUUUUAAUCAUUUUUUUAUUAAAUUUGUUGAUGUGAUUUAAAAAAAAAAACAUUUGGUCGUAAUGUAACUAAAUUUGAUCAAGAGUUGGGUAGCCCAAUAGGCUUAGUCCGACUUGAGUCAGGCUUGGACAAAUAUUUUUACACCUCAAGCUGGCUCAGCCUAGUCAUAAUUCAAUUUAAAUAAGAAAAAAAUAUUUUUAUUAUUUAAAUUUAAUUAUAAAACUAUAUAAAUAUCAAUUAAAAAUAUUUUUAAAUAUUUUAUUAAUUUUUAAAUAGUGAAACGAGCUUUUUGGAUGGGCCAGCCCAAAAAAGGGUUUGGGCUUUAAUUUUUUUGGAAUCCGGCAUUGGCUUGGCCCAUGGGCGGCUCAAAAUGUUACUGAAAAAUGAUAUUGUAAUGAAUCCGAAUUUAACAUUAAUUUUAAUAGUUGAACCUGGAUUUUGAAAUUUAAAAAGUAGAGAGACUAAAUUUCUAAAAGUAAAAAUACAAAAAUUAAAUCUUAAAUUUAUAAAUAGUACAAAAACUUAUGACAUAUUUUAACUUUGAAGAAAAACUUAGGAUCACAUAUGUGUUCUUUUUUAUACAAUGCUUAGAACUAUUCAUAGUUCCUCCCUAACCCAUAAAUAGAAGGAUAAUGAGUUCUAACACAUUCAAACCCAUGUUCUCUUGUAUUGAUAACAAUAUCCAUACUAAUUGGAUAAAGACUCAAUCAGUAAAAUUAAAUCAUUACUUAUAUCUUUAAAUUAUGUAUACAUAUUUAUAUUUACUUCUCUUUCCAUGAGGUAUUUAUAUUUACUUUCUUUAUAAGGCCAAGAAGAUCGAGACAAGAACAACAGAUAAAUUGACGCAUAAAAUCUAAAAUGUCGCUAAAUUGACUGUAGGAAACAUUGUCGGUAAAUUUAGUGUUUCAUCCGGGAUUUUAUUUAAUCUCAAUUGGUAAGCUUUAACUACUCAUAAAUUUUUUUGGGACAAGAAAUUAAAUUUAUUUAAAAGAAAGUAAAGAGAGUUUAAUGCUCUUAAUUUUUCUUUAAAUUACUUAGUUUUUAUUUAUUGCAAUUUAAGAAAAAAUUAGGAAAAAGAUGUAAUAUUUUUUAAGAUGCGAAAUAUCAUUUCUAUCUUUCCAUAAAUUGUUUUAGAAAAUGGGAUAUGAUUUGAAAUAAAUCAAAAUAAUCAUUUGUUUUAUUAUUUUCCAUAGUUUAACCACACAAAACUUGGGAUAUGAUCUAUUUUUAAAGGAUUGGAAGGAUAAAAGGUAUUGUAUAGAAAAAAAUUGGUAAAUAAUUAUUUGUCUCUUUUAAUUUUGAAAUUGAGUAAAUUAAUUAUUUAAAAAAAUUGAAGCAAUUUAAUUCUUGUUAAUUUUGAAAGCGAGUAAUUAAAGAUAAUUAAUUACUGCAUUAAAUAUUUUGUCAAUUGUAAAUAAUAUUGGUUGGUAUAAUAACAAAUUUAAUAUUCAAAGUUUGCACAUUUUGUCAAUUUGAUAACAAUUUAACAAAUUUAGCUACUAACAUUUACAUAAAUAUUGAGACUAAAUUUAUUGAAACUUUUAAAAUCUAGAUCAAAUUUGUUGUAGGCCAAUUUUAGGCCUGUUUACAUUACAUAAGCCCAUUUACAUUAAACCCCAAGACCCAAAUAUCUAACCCAAACCCGAAUGGCCCACUACAACCCAUUCCAACCUAAUACCCAUCUAAAUUAACCCACAUAAAACCCAAAUACCCACAACCCAUUACAAACCAAACCCAAUACAGCAAGCCCAAUAUCAUUAACCCCAACUACCCGAAACCCUAGCCCCAUUUUCGGCUCUCACUUGCCUCUGCCACCACCUGCCCACUGCAACCCCUUCUCCUGGCGCCACCUGCCCCGUAGUCACCUCCACCGUUCACCCACCACCUGCAAAGCAAACAGAGCACGUAAUAGCAACCAAAAAGAGAAACAGACAGUAACAAAUCAGAUAUAAAAACCGAAUGGAAACCAUAGCAAAGGGGUUCCUUCUUUUUUAGUGUUUUUAUUUUUUUUCGAAUAUUCAAGAAGAAAUCAAUACAUAAGUUAGAUUUCAAUACAUACAAAAGCGGUGAUUCGAACACCCGAAAUUAGAGAAUCGAACAAACGAAAAUAUCAGACAUUAGAAACCAAGGUGAUUGUUUAUUUUUCGAAUCGAUUUUUUCUUCAUCAUACUCUUAAACAUAUAUAAUAUAUAUACAUACAUAUAUUCGAAAAUAAAAAAAAAAACAAAACAAAAAAAAUAAUUUUACCUUUUCCGGCCACCGCGCACGGUGGCCAACACCGACGCCGACGACAGUCCGAUGACCGGACGGUGAUCGGCCCAUGGCCGGAUUCCCUCCCCCUCUCCCUCUUCUCUCCCUUUUUUUUCUUUUUUCCCCGUUUAAAUGAUUUUUUUUAAAAAAAAUUGUCUUUUAUAGGGACCAAAACGGUGCGUUUUGGUCCCCCUCCGUUUUAACGAAAAACGACGUCGUUUUGGCCCUGGGUCUGGUCGACUCGACCCGCUCCAGCUAGGAUCCGCGUGUUUUUGCUCUUAGGGGCUAUUUGCAUAAUCGGUCCUUCCGCAUUUUUAGUGUUUUAAAUCAGGUUUAUAUUUAUUUACAAAUUGGCUCUGAAGUUUGUUAUGAUUCUCAAAUUGAUCCUCAGUGAUGGCAUCGUUUUAAAGGUUUUUGAAAAUUACUCUUUUGGCCCCUCCAGGUUAGCGCAUGUUGUAAUUUCAUCCUUUUCUUUUAUUUUUAUUUCAAAUCAACCCUAAAACUUUGGUUUUUAUUCAAUUUUAGUCCUUUUAGUUUAUUUUCAUUCCUUUAUUAUUAAAUUAAUUAAUUUUGAUAAUUUUUUUAUUAUUAUAUUUACUAUUAUUUAUUGUUAUUGGUAUUAUUAUAUGUUUUAUUAUAUACGUAUGAAUAUACUUUUUUUACCAUUUUACAUUAUUAUAUUUAUUAUUUAUUUCUAACAUAUUAUUAUUUUAUUUUUUUAUAUCAUCAUUAUAUUUAAUUUGUGCUUAUAUGUUAUAUUUUCUCUUUUUACUUUUAUAUUUACUAUUUGCAUUAUAUUUACUUAUUAUUAUUAUUAAUUAUGUAUAUAUAUUUUUAAAUCCCAUGUUAUGUAUAGACAUUUCUAAUAUGUAUUUCUUUAAAUGAUAUUAUUACAUAUAUAUUUUAGUACAUAUAUAUGUGUACUUGUGUGAAUAUUCUUUUAGCAUGUGCUACAUAUAUAUUUUUUUUAUUCUAUAUUAUGUAUGUAUAUUUCUAAUAUUAUAUUAUGUUUUCAUAUAUAUAUAUUAUGUAUAUACUUUGGUAUCAUAAUUAUAUAUUUUUAUACGAUCUUAUGUACAUAUAUUUACACGCAUAUAUUUUCUUUUAUAUAUUAUGUAUAUGCAUUUUUUAUAUAUGUAUAUGUUUAUACUAUAUUAGUUAGUUUUAUACUAUCUUAUAUGUACAUUUUGAAUACUAUGCUAUGUAUGUAUUCUAAAUACUACAUUUUAUAUAUAUUAUGCGUACUUCAAUACUAUUAUUAUGUAAUAUAUAUAUACACAUAUAUACGCCUAUGUAGGUGUAGUAUUAUUAGUAUUUUUAAUAUUACAUUUUCCGUCACCUUACAUAUUAUUAUAUAACAUAUGUAUAUAUAUAAUCCAUUGUUUUCUUUCGUGUUUAAUGUUAUUAUUAUCGUGCAUAAUAUCAAACACAUCGUGAAUACUUUAUAGUUAUUAUUUUAUCAUCCGCUUCAUAUAUUCGUAAGUCGCCUUUUAUUACAGCAUUGUUAUAAGUUUCUAUUGUUUUUGAUAAAAAAAUAUUCUUAUUCAUGAUUUAAAUCAAUUUCAAUAAGCAAGGCAAUGUACUGAUUUAACAUUAAGUCAUCAAUUUCAUCGCUAUGUUGGGUGAACAUCAAUCGACUCGUGUUAAAGACGGAACACUCUUCUAAAAAAUCCAAAAAACUAAAAAAUUCUCGUCUUUUCAAUCAGAUCACGAUUAAAUGUUACAUUGAACUCGUAUUUUUGAAAAUCAAGACAACAUGUGUUUAACAAGAUACCAAUUUUGGGCGUCGCGAGGGUGCUAACACCUUCCUCGCGCGUAACCGACUCCCGAACCCUACUUUUCCUCUGGCUUUUAAUGUAGACCUAAACUCGGCUUUCUUUUCAUUUAAAAAAUGAAUUUUCUCUCAAAAGAAGAAUGAUUUAUUAGGUGUCCAAUCACACCUAGAAAAAAGAUCGGUGGCGACUCCCUUUUUAUUUUAAAAUCAAACUUCAGUUUUCAAGUUUUCACUAAAUCGCCACAAUUAGCGACCAAGCUAAAAUUUUUACGUCGCUACAGCUGGCAACUCCAAUGGAAAAAUAUUUUUGAGAGUCGAGUCAAAUUAAAUGUGUAUUGUCAAAAUUUUCAAAAUUCCUUGUUCAAAUUAGUAUUUAGUCGUGAUCCCAAAAUUGUGUUUUUGAAAAGUCAUGCAUAUGCAUCAUGUUGUAAAUAUUCUUCUAACUUGUUUUAGCUUGUUGAUUUUCAGCUCUCAGUUUUUUAGUUUUUGUAGUUUAGUUUUUAAAUAAAACAUAAAAGAUUAUGAGUUUUUCCCCACACACCGUGCACUUGCAUUUUGCAUAACAAGAGCUCUCUACCCAGGCUCUGUCCGUUUAAGUGAAAGUAAACGCUACGCUUUCGUGAGUUAACUUGUCCCUCUACACAGGCUAGUGAAUACUUUCGGAUUACAUAUGACUUAUGCUUUCAUGAGUUAACUUGUCCCUCCGCAUAGGCAUAAGUAAAUGUAAUCCCUCGAAUUGAACUCGUGAGCCUGUGAUGGGCUACGAUCGAUGCUUCAUACUAGUCUUAGUAGACGAUAGUGCGAACAAUUCGAGUACCUGUCUAGAACCGAAAUCGCAUAUGGUGAACUGUAUGAGCCACCUAAUUAGAGCCAUGCCGAACCUCUGUCCGUUAAUAGUCACCAAAAUAAGUACAUGGGAGAAAUGUCUCUUACCUUUUAUUUCUUUGGCAUUUAUACUUUUUAUUUGAAUUUUCUGUAAUUUAUAUUUGUUGUGAUUACUAACCAAGGUUGUUUAUCUUUAUUAUUAUUUUUCAUCAUGCAUUAUAGGCAUCAUAUUAGGAAGGUGUUGACUAGAGAUCGGUUGCCAAAAAAUGGGUUUCUAAUGGAAGAGUCAAUUAUACAAACAACUGAGAAGAAUGCCGUGGUUCGGGACUGGUCUCUAAAAACUCAGAAAGAAAAAGGGGAUAGUCUAGCGGAGGGAUGUAUUGCCAAUCUGCCCGAGCACGUAACUGUGAAUGUUUGCCAGAAUAACCUUGAAGAUUUGGUUCGGGUUUGGAAUUAGUGGGACUCGGACACUAGGGGUAUCUUCACUGAGAGGUACGGGGAUAUAGCCAGCCUAAUCGCCAUCAACAUAGAUGAAAGAUUGAUUCAGGCCAUGAUCAGAUUUUGGGAUCUGGCUUACCAGUGUUUCAUUUUCAAUCAAGAAGAUAUAACCCCAACCGUGGAAGAGUACGCUGCUUUACUUCGUAUUGAUAAUGUGCAAUUCUACAAGAUUUAUGUGAAGGAGCCCAAGCCGAUGAUUUUCAAGAAAAAGCUGGUAAAGUUGACUGGCUUGACCGACACGUGGGCCGAGAAACAAAUAAAGAAAAAGAAUGAAAUCAGCUGCAUUCCGUGGUUUUCUCUACGGGAUUUAGUCUUAAAUCAUCCCGAUAUUUUGAAAAAAGUGAAUCUAUUCGCUUUGGCCAUUUACGGAUUGGUCGUCUUUCCAAAAGUUCUGGGACAUAUAGAGGUUGCAGUAGUGGACUUCUUUGAAAAGUUAAAGCAAGGAAUCAACCCUAUCCCAACUAUUUUGGCCAAGACCUUCAGAUCCCUAAGCAGUUGUAGGAGAAAAAGGGAAGGAUGCUUUAUCGGAUGCGCGCAGUUACACAAUGUCUGGAUUUUGAGCCAUUUCUGGAAAGUAGAGCACACACCGUACCACAUGUUUUCAAAAACUUUCGCUCCGUUAGAAGCCUAUCUUGAGAAAGAAUGGCCAAGGGAUGUCACCGAAGAGUAUUGUGUUUUAGUUUUUUAGAACCUUCGAGCUGAAGAUGUAACCUGGAGAGCACCGUGGAUCCGCCCUUCGGUUCUGUUAUACAAGGUUGAAAAUCAAGAUUGUGUGCCACUACUCGGGUUAUGGGGAGGAAUUGGAUACGCUCCGUUAAUGGUUCAAAGGUAAUUUUUUUCACAACAAUUCAUACCCGCCACCGGAGGAUUAGCACAGUCUGAGUUUGCUUUUGCAGGUGAGGGAUAUAUGAAGAGGGUCUGAGAUACCGCAAAGUCUUGGAAGAGAAUUCAUCUCAUGGAGUUAGCUCUAUACGCUGACACCCUCACCCAAGAUUACGUCAUAUGGAGAAAGCAACGAAUGAAUAGUCAACACAUCUCGUCGACAAAUUACACUGUCCAGAAUCCUUUAUCGGAAGAAGUGCCAUCUAAGCUAGAAAUGGCAAGACAAGAAUUUGAACGGAGAAGGCCAAGAUACCUCAGGACCUUAGUGCUCUUUAGGAGGAAACUACCAACUGAAGAUCAACGUUCAGAUUGAAAGAUCCAGAACUGAGAAAGCGCAAAAAGAAGCUGAAGUUGUAAAAAAUGACUUAAGGGACCUUCAUUUGGAAAAUAAAAAGUUAAGAGGCACAAUAAAAAACAGUAGGUUGGGCAAAUCGUCAACAGCAUGGAAGGAGGAAAUUAGCAACAUCAAGGGAGGGAUGGAAUUCUGAAAAUGGAAAGCGAAGAAAGAAGAAGAAAAGGCUGCGCGGGCUAUGAUGGAGCUAAGGAAGAAGAACGCUGAAUAUAAAGCUGUGUCUGCCGAGGUAAUGACUAGUCGAUCUAAAUGUCAAGAACUAAAAGAGAGGAUACGAGAUUUAGAAGACAUGCUACAAGAUCGUUAACAACAGCUAGAUACUCUCUUGGAGGCUUUGGAAGAAAAGAAUAGUCAGUAUGAUAGAGACAUUUGUGCUUAUGAAGAGGGCCUUCAAGAAAAAGGAAUGCAACUUAGCUAUUUGAUCAAUGAAAUUCGUAGGGUAGCCAUGCACGUGGUACAACUAUCGGAAGAAGCUGAAACUCUCAUUUGCUAAUUCCCUCCAAGUCGAAGAUCAAACAUAUCAGAAUUCUUAGCACGAGUAAAGAAAUAUGGCAAUAUAGCUAGGAAGUUUGUGUAAUGGCUUAAUCGAAAAUGGAAAAAUAUUUUGUAAUGGACUCUUUUGAUAAAUGAAAUGCCUAAAUAGGGGCCGUCUUGAAGUCAACACUAAAUUCUUGCAUAUUUAUUCAUGACUAACAUUCAUUUGACAUUUAUGCAUUCAUUCAUUUAUUCAUUCAUUGCAUAUCCCAUAAUCAUUCGCUGAGGUUAAAACAUACAAUUCGCAGUUGUAAUACCACAAGUCUGGAACCACGUCAUUCGUAUAGGACAUGCCGAUAAGCUAGAGUAAUGGAGGUUGAAUUCAAUUAAAGGAUUGAAAGGAUGGAAAGAAUCCAAAGGGAAUUACAAGAGCAGUUGGCCAAGUCGCAGCAAGAGACAAGAGAUUUAAUAGUGAGAUAUCAAGAAGAAUCGCUCGAACAGAAGGAUCAAAUGGCCAAGAUGAUGGAAAUGAUGUCAGCUCUGGAAAAAGGAAAGGGACCUAUGAACCCUGACGUUGUGGAACCACAGUCAAGGGUUAACCUCGAUCAGGAUCCGCCCCAUCCGCCAGGAUUUACUCCACCGCACGCCUAUUUAACACAAAGAGGGUACGCUCAAUGGGAACCUACAAGCCUGGAGCAACGACUUGCGCCACCUACUAAUCUGGGGCAAGGAAUGUUCGUAUCAAACCCGGGGGCUAGUCCUAUUAAUCCACUCGUUCUAGAUUUGGACGAUUCGGUAGAGAUAGCCAGGUUGAAAUUGGAUGAUCAUGAUGCAAAGGAGAAAUAUAGGAGCCUAAAGGAAAGACUCAAAGCGAUAGAAUACACUGAAGUCUUCUCUGCACUGAGCGUUAAAGAGCUCAAUUUGGUACCCGAUUUAGUUUUGCCUCCAAAGUUUAAGGUACCGGAUUUUGAAAAGUACGAUGGGACAAGAUGCCCAAAAGCGCAUCUCAUCAUAUUUUACCGGAAGAUGACUGGUUAUGUGAAUGAAGAUAAGCUACUCAUACAUUGUUUUCAGGAUAGUCUAGUAAGAUCGACUCUUCGAUGGUACAACCAGCUUAGUAGGGAAAAGAUCUGAUCUUGGAAGGACUUGGCGUCAGCAUUCUGUGAGCAGUACAAGCAUGUAUCGGAUAUGGUGCCUGAUCAAAUGACUCUAAAAAUGAUGGGAAAAAACCCAGCAGAAACCUUUAGGCAAUACGCUCAAAGGUGGAGAGAUGUCUUGGCCCAAGUGGAACCCCCGCUAACAAAAACGGAGAUAACCAUCCUCUUUAUCAACACCUUAAAGGAACCGUUUUAUGACAAACUAGUGGGAAGUGCCACGAAGGACUUUGCGGAUAUUGUAAUAUCCGGUGAGCUUAUAGAGAACGCCGUCAAAAGCGGUAGAAUGGAAGAUCAAGAAAGUUCAAGAAGGGUAGCGCCCAUGAAGAAAAAAGAACCAGAAGCCCAUAUGGUGGGAAUGGAAAGCUGUUAUACCCAUAAUUCGUAUCCAAACCAACCCCGACCUCGAAAUUAUCCACCUCCGAAUUUCUAUUAUCCUCCUCAAACCCCUUACUACCAAGCACUGCCUCAUUCCUACCUCGUAUACGCCAUGAAAAAUCAAAGACCCGUCGCCACAUUUCAAUAAAACACUGUACCCGCUCAAAGCCAACCCAGAAACAAACCAAGACCAGUAAGGCCCAAUUCCGAGAGACCACAAUUUACUCCUAUCCCUGUGUCGUAUGAGGAAUUAUACCCAAAACUUUUGAAAAAACAAUUAAUAUCUCCCCAUUACAUGGCACCCUUUAAGCUUCCAUACCCGAAAUGGUACGAUCCAAACGCUAAUUGUGUAUAUCACGUUGGGAACCAGAGACACUCUACGGAAAACUGUCUUGCUUUCAAAAGGAAAGUUUAAGGACUCAUCGAUGCGGGCAUUUUGCGAUUUGAUGGUACUGGCGGUACGGCUGGGAACCCAUUCCCUAACCAUACCGAAGGAAAUGUGAGCGUGGUGGGGAAAGAAGAUGAAUGGUAAGUCAAAAGAUGUGUUUCGGAAAUAAGGACGCCUUUGCAGAAAAUCUGGGAGGUACUGGUUAAGAAGGGAUUGCUCUGUCGCCCCGACAGAAAUCUCAGAGAAGGAGAUCAAGGUUUUUGUAGUUUCUAUAGAAUUGUAGGGCACGACAUUCAGUCGUGUGAGGAAUUUAAAAGGUUACUUCAAGACCGGAUGGAUAAUAAGGAGAUUGGGAUCAUUAAUAAAGGCGAAGAGGCCGAUAGAGGAGAAAUAUGCACCUCUGACAAUCAAUCGUCAGGUUUCCCGUAUAGCGCCGAUCGACCGUUAAUAAUUUAUUACGACGCGAAGAAGGAGCCGGUAAAACCAAAGAUGAUCAUUGAAGUACCAUCUCCUUUCCCUUACAAGGAUGACAAGGCGGUACCGUGGAAAUACGAUAUCAACAUCGUCACACCUGAAGGUGAAAAAUCCGAAACCACAACAGGAGAUGUUGGGGAGGUAGGCCAUUUUACCCGCAGUGGGCGGUGUUAUUUUAAAGAGAUUGAGCCGAUAAAGGAGAACAGUGACUAGAAGCAAAAAGAAAAGGUAGUGAUGUAUGAGGCCAAAGUCGAGCAGGAAACUCCACCCGUGCAAGAAACUAAAAAGCCUGUGGAUGAGGAGGAAGCACAGGAGUUCUUGAAAUUUAUCAAGCACAGUGAAUACAAUGUGGUAGAACAAUUGAAUAAGCAACCAGCACAAAUCUCAAUUUUAUCUCUACUGUUAAAUUUAGAGCCACACCGGAACACAUUGUUAAAAGUGUUGAAUCAAGCUUAUGUAGCAAACAAUAUAUCCGUUGAGAAGCUUGACAGAUGGGUGAAUAAUCUAAACGCAGAUAAUUUCAUUUCUUUUAGUGAUGAUGAAAUGCCACCCAAUGGUAGAGGCUCCGUGAAAGCAUUGCAUAUCACAACCCACUGCAAGGGUUACAUAAUACCGAACGUGCUCAUCGAUAAUGAGUCGGCACUCAAUGUCAUGCCCUUGGCCAUGCUUUCUAGAAUUCCGAUGGAUCUGUCCUAUUUAAGGCCCUGUCAUUCCACAGUAAGGGCAUUCGAUGGGACAAGACAUGAAGUCAUAGGGAAGAUCGAGAUCCCUCUAAAAGUAGGUCCCUAUAUAUAUGAAGUCAAGUUCCAAGUCAUGAACAUUACACCCUCAUAUAACUGCCUUUUGGGAAAACCCUGGCUCCAUUCCACUAGAGCGGUCCCAUCAUCCCUCCAUCAAAAGGUGAAAUUUAUCAUGGAUGGUUGUUUGGUCACUGCCGAGGGAGAAGAAGACAUUGUAGCAUCUAUUUCUACCGACACACCAUACAUUGAAGUGAGUAAAAAUGCUAUAGAAUGUUCCUUCCGAUCCCUUGAAUUUGUCAAUGUCACAUUCGUCGUUGAGGGAAACAAAAUUCCCGUGCCAAAACUGUGGAGAAAUACUAGGAUGAGCAUCAAGAUGACUGUGGGAAGAGGAGCCUGAGCAAGGAAAGGUUUGCAAAGGUACCUGUAAGGAAUAGUCAGGGCUUUAAAGCCAGUACAUCACAAAGCUCGAUACGGUUUAGGGUUCCAACCAGAUGUGCACCAAAGAAGAAAACAAUGGAAGAAAGAUCAAGAAAGAAGGAUCGCAAGAACCUUAGGCUGAGAAAUAGAAUGGGGGCCCAUAACGUACCCUCCUUUGUCAAAAACAUUUACAUCUGCAGGAAUGAUAUACCCCGGUCAAGAUAAUCCACGAAGCACGAUGUUAUUAAUUGAAAGGGGUCUUCAGAAUGUCAGUAUAAAUGUCAUUGACAAAUGAAGUGAUGCAAUUAAAGAUGUUUCAACGAUACGCCCUUGUCCUCUUGGAUUUGUUUUGAACAAUUGGACUGCUGUGGAGCUCCUUGUAGUUUCUAAAUCUUCUCUAGAGUAAUGCUCAAUAUUAACACUAUUCUUUUUGUGUGUCCCUAAGUAAUAGAGGGAUUCUUUUGUAAGAGCUUAUGAUUUGCUCUUUAUCAUUUAAAUGAACAUUAAUGAAGAUGCAUUGUGUCAUAGUCUUUACAUUUUCAUUAACUUCAUAAUUUUUCCCUCUUUUCACAACCUGUCAUUGCAUAUAUCUCACAUUAUGCCUGUUGGUCCCAAUACUUUGAUGCUCCUCUAUAGUUUCCUUUUCUAUUCAACUUUCAGGUGCUCAGAUAUCAAUGGCAUGAACAAACCUGUUACGAGUCCUGAAAUUAAUUUCGAAAAGGCUAUUUGUUUAGGAGAGUUUGAAGUUGAGGGAAAUGUUGAAGACUAUGUCUCGUCUCCUGACUUACUAAGAAUGGUAAAACAAGAAGAUAAACAGAUUCUACCUCAUCAAGAACAUGUUGAGACAGUAAAUUUGGGAACUGAAGAAAGGAAGCAAGAAGUGAAGAUCGGGACCUCUAUUUCAGGGGGCACUAGGCAUAAUUUGAUUGCUUUACUCCGCGAGUAAAAAGAUGUAUUCGCAUGGUCAUAUCAAGACAUACCAGGAUUGGAUGAGGAUGUAGUGGUCCAUAAGCUCCCAUUAAAGUCAGAAUGAAAACUCAUUCAACAAAAGCUAAGACGGAUGAGACCUGAGAUGUUGUUGAAAAUAAAAGAGGAAGUCAAGAAACAGUUUGAUGCUGGCUUCCUACAAGCCUCCAAAUAUCCAGAAUGGGUGGCUAACAUAGUCCCGGUACCAAAGAAAGACGACAAAGUACGAAUGUGCGUGGAUUAUCGUGACUUGAAUCGAGCAAGUCCUAAAGAUAAUUUUCCCUUACCACACAUUAAUACAUUGGUGGAUAACACAACAAAACAUUCAUUAUUUUCCUUCAUAGAUGGAUACUCGGGAUAUAAUCAGAUCAAGAUGGCCCCUGAGAAUAUGGAAAAAACUACCUUCGUAACAAUGUUUCAAGGUGAUGCCAUUUGGGUUAAAAAAUGCUGGGGCAACAUAUUAGAGAGCUAUAGUGACUUUAUUCCAUGACAUGAUGCAUAAAGAAAUAGAGGUCUACGUCGACGAUAUGAUUGCUAAAUCCUGAGGGGAAGAAGAGCAUGUAGUGAACCUCAAGAAGUUGUUCGAAAGGCUGAGAAAGUUUCAGGUAAAGCUUAAUCCAGCUAAAUGUACGUUUGGGGGUACCUUGGGAAAGUUGCUAGGCUUCAUUAUCAGUGAAAGAGGUAUCGAGGUUGAUCCAAAUAAAAUAAAGGCCAUUUAAGAGUUACCACCUCCGCGCACGCAAAAGGAAGUCAGAGGAUUUAUAGGGAGGUUGAACUACAUCACUCGGUUCGUUGCUCAACUUACUAACCAGUAUGACCUAAUCUUUCGGCUUCUUCGAAAACAUAACCCGGGAGAAUGGAAUGAGGAAUGUCAGAUGGCCUUUGAUAAGAUAAAACAAUAUUUGUCUAGUCCUCCAGUGCUAGUACUGUUAACUCCGGGAAGACCAUUGAUAUUGCAUUUGACUGUGUUCGAAAAUUCAAUGGGUUGCGUACUGGGGCAACACGACGAGUCAGGAAAGAAAGAAAAUGUGAUUUACUAUCUCAGCAAAAAGUUCACAGAGUAUGAGGCAAAGUAUUCGUCAUUUGAAAAAUUCUGUUGCGCAUUGGUUUGGGUAGCUCAGAGACUCAGGCAAUAUAUGUUGUAUCAUACGGCAUGGUUAAUUUCAAAGCUGGAUCCAAUAAAGUACAUGAUGGAAUCACCUGCACUCUCAGAAAGAAUGGCACGAUGGCAGAUCUUACUAUCAGAAUACGACAUUGUCCAUGUGAGCCAAAAGUCAAUAAAAGGAAGCGCAAUAGCUGACUUCUUAGCAACUCGAACAAUGGAUGAAUACGAGCCAUUCAAAUUUAAUUUUUCGGAUGAAGACUUAAUGUACAUUACAGAAAAAGAGUGUGAGUUGCCUAAAGAGAAGUCAUGGAAGAUGAGCUUUGAUGGUGCAUCGAACGCAUUGGGGCAUGGGAUUGGAGCAGUCUUAGUAUCACCAGAAGGGAACCAUUAUCCUUUCACUGCCAGAUUAAACUUCUUCUGUACCAAUAACAUAGCGGAAUAUGAGGCUUGUAUCAUGGGACUUCUUGUAGCAAUUGAACGAAAAAUCAAAACUUUAGAGGUAUACGGAGACUCGGUGCUGGUAAUUUACCAAAUCCGUGGAGAUUGGGAAGUAAGAGAUCCGAAAUUAGUCAAAUAUAGUGCUCUAGUGGCGGAACUGAUCAAAGAAUUUAAAGAAGUAACUUUUAGUUACUUCCCACGAGAAGAAAACCAAUUGGCUGAUACCCUGGCCACUUUGACUUCAAUGUUCAAAGCAAAUAGAGAAACAAAAAUAAUUCCUCUGCAAAUGAGCAUAUAUGAAGUCCCUACACAUUGUUUCAGCAUUGGGAAAGAGCUAGAUGGACGGCAAUGGUUCCAUGAUGUCUUAGAAUAUAUCAAGAAUCAAAGGUAUCCCGAACAAGCCAAUGAGAAUGACAAAAGAAUAAUCAGAAGAAUGGCAGCGGGAUUUGUUCUUGAUGGGGACAUCCUGUACAAAAGAGGAAAAGAUCGGGUGCUCUUGAGAUGCGUGGAUGCUAUUGAAGCUAGAAAAAUACUUGAAGAUGUCCAUGAGGGAAUCUGUGGGACACAUGCCAAUGGUUUCACUAUGGCCAGGAAGAUUAUGAGACUCGGUUACUACUAGUUGAUGAUGGAAAGCGACUGCAUAGUUUUGCAACAAAAUGCCACAAAUGUCAAAUUUAUGGCGAUAAGAUUAAUGUGGCCCCUUCGCCCCUUCAUGUUAUGACUUCUCCGUGGACUUUUUCUAUGUGGGGCAUGGAUGUCAUAGGGCCAAUUUCCCUAAAAGCUUCUAAUGGACAUCGAUUCAUCUUUGUGGUUAUUGAUUACUUUACAAAGUGGAUAGAAGUCGCUUCGUUUGCCAACGUGACGAAGACUGCAGUUUGCAAGUUUUUUAAAAGGGAAAUCAUUUCUCAAUAUGGUUUGCCUGAAAGAAUCAUUUCAGAUAACGCCUUGAAUCUGAGCAACAAGAUGAUGAAAGAAGUAUGUGAGCAAUUUCAAAUAAAGCAUCAUAACUCCUCACCCUAUCGCCCAAAAAUGAAUGGAGCUGUUGAAGUGGCCAAUAAGAAUAUUAAGAAAAUCAUUAGGAAAAUGGCCGAGACAUAUAAAGACUAGCACGAGAAGCUACUGUUUGCUUUGUAUGCAUAUCGCACAUCUGUGCGGACUUCUACGGGUGCAACCCCUUUCUCUUUGGUCUAUGGAAUAGAAGCUGUGCUACCCAUCGAAGUUGAGAUCCCCUCUCUACGAGUCUUGAUGGAGUUGAAAUUAGAGGACGCAGAAUGGGUUCGAGCUCGAUAUAACUAGGUGAACCUCAUCGAAGAAAAACGUUUGAAGGCAAUGUGUCAUGGACAGAUGUGUCAGAAGAGAAUGAUCGCAGCCCAUGACAAGAAAGUACGGCCAAGAGAAUUCCACGAAGGAGAACUCGUACUAAGAAAGAUUCUCCCAAUACAAAAAGACCUGUGAGGAAAAUGGGUACCAAAUUGGAAAGGUCCAUACGUUGUAAAGAAGGCAUUCUCGGGUGGAGCUUUGAUUCUCACUGAGAUGGAUGGGAAGGAGUUACCUAAUCCAGUGAAUUCAGAUGCUGUGAAGAAAUAUUAUGCCUAAAAAAAAAGGAGAUCAAGGUGAAAACCCGAAAAGGCCGUCUUGAUUAACAUAAAAGAUUAGGAUGAAAACCCAAAAGGGCAUUCUAAUGAGGCAAACCCGGGCUUAAAGAGCAAGGCGGUUGAAUAGUGGGUUAAACAGCAAGACUAUAAUAUUUGAAGCAUUUUCAGCAGCUCAAAAUCUUCUAAGCAAGAAGUCAUGUUUGAAAAGAUUCUUGAUUAAGAAACAUGGAAGAGUUCAUGUGUUGAAUAUCUAGAGCAUUCGUAUCCAUUGAAUGCGAUCCCAUUUCUCUUUAUGACACUUUUUCUUACUAUCAUUGAUUAACUUUUUCAUUUGCUACAUUUGAAAUAAAUAAAUGUGAGAUACCCUUUUUGUCCCUACCUGACCAAUUUCAUGCACUUCAUUGUAUGAUUUAUUCACAUGAUAAAUAGUGAAAUGACAUACUCUAAACAAAAGAAAUGUUAAGCAUUACCCGGAUAAGAAUUUGAUAAGUACAAGAGCCUCAAUGCAAGGACAAAGUUCAACUAGGGGCAAAAGAGCGAUAUCUGAGAAACGCAGAUUAUUUGUGAAGCUUGAGGACGGGUACAGGGCCUGAAAAGAAAGUCAAGAAUCAAAGCAAUGAACGCAGAUCAUCAAAAAUCAUGACAGAAAGGGACAUAUGACAAACAAGCCCAAGGCUCAUAGCAUGAUCAUGUAGGCAUAAAGGCAUUUAAGACCAACAUGUGCAUAUCAUGAUAACAUCAUGCGUGACAUAUACAGGUACUCCAGCAGAGCAAGAAAUUUUGAAUGAUAGUUAUACUAGAUCAAGGAAGAGACACUUGAGUUCCACCAGAUGAUUUGUUUUGGUAUUCUGAUAUUUUUAUUUCUGUUUCAAAAAUCAACUCGUAUGGCGAGAGGUGAGUUGAGCCUCAGGACACGCUGAGGCAUUUUCAAUUUUUGUUUUUCAAAAAUCGACUCAUAUUGUGAGAGGUGAGUUGAGCCUCAGGGCACGCUGAGGUAUGUUCAGUUUUUGUUUUUUAAUUUAUGUUUCAAAAAAAUCAACUCAUAUUGCGAGAGGUGAGUUGAGCCUCAGGACACGCUGAGGUAUUUUCAAUUUUUGUUUUUCAAAAAAUCGACUCAUAUUGCGAGAGGUGAGUUGAGCCUCAGGGCACGCUGAGGUAUGUUUUGUUUUUGUUUUUUAAUUUAUGUUUCAAAAAAUCAACUCAUAUCGCGAGAAGUGAGUUGAGCUUUAGGGCACGCUGAGGUAUUUUCAAUUUUUGUUUUUCAAAAAUCGACUCAUAUUGCGAGAGGUGAGUUGAGCCUCAGGACACGCUGAGGUAAUUUCAAAUUCUAUUUGUCAAAAAUCAACUCAUAUUGCGAGAAGUGAGUUGAGCCUCAGGGCACGCUGAGGAAUUUUCAAUUCUUGCUUUUCAAUUUCUGCUUUUCAAAAAAAUCAACUCAUAUUGCGAGAGGUGAGUUGAGCCUCGGCUCACAUGCUGAGGUAUUUUCAAUUUCUGUUUUUUUCAAUUUAUAUUUUUCAAAAAUUAACUCAUAUUGCGAGAGGUGAGUUGAGCCUCGGGUCACAUGUCGAGGUAUUUUCAAAAUCUGCUUUUAAGUUUAAAAAACCAACUCAUACUGCGAGAGGUGAGUUGAGCUUUGGCUCACGUGCUGAGCUAUUUUCAAUUUCUGUUUUUAAUGUCUGUUUUUAUAGAGUCAAUUCAUAUUGCGAGAAAUGAGUUGAGCUCAGGAUCACAUGCCAAGUAAAGAAUAAAGAUUGGAGCUGAUUGAAGACACCUGAUUUUGUCUCCCUGAAGUUGCAGUGGAGCUGAUCGAGGAUAUCAGCUCUUGCCUUCCUGAAGUCGUAGAAGAAAAGAUCACAAACCUUAUUUCACUGAAGCGAUAGAAGAGCAGAUUGAAGUUGUAAAUCUCAUCUUUCCGAAGUUACAGUGAAGCAGAUCGAAGCUAGGAACCUCAUACCCAUGAAGAUGUGAGUAGAUUGAAGCUACAAGUCAUAUCAAAAGAUGCAGUGGAUCGAACCAAAGCUAUAAAAUGCGAUGGGUUGGAAAGAGACUAUCUGAACAAGAAGAGCACCAAAGAAGUCAAGACUCAGCAAGACUGGGCAAAAUUGGCCUUUCUUUGUAUCUUUGCUCUAUUCCCGUUACACAACAAUGAACAAAGAGGGGCAACUGUUGUAUGCCAAUUUUGGGCCUGUUUACAUUACAUAAGCCCAUUUACAUUAAACCCUAAGACCCAAAUAUCUAACCCAAACCCGAAUGGCCCAUUACAACCCAUUCCAACCUAAUACCCAUCUAAAUUAACCCACAUAAAACCCAAAUACCCACAACCCAUUACAAACCAAACCCAAUACAGCAAGCCCAAUAUCAUUAACCCCAACUACCCGAAACCCUAGCCCUAUUUUCAGCUCCCACUUGCCUCUGCCACGACCUGCCCACUGCAACCCCAUCUCCUGGCGCCACCUGCCUCGUAGUCACCUCCACCGUUCACCCACCACCUGCAAAGCAAAUAGAGCACGUAAUAGCAACCAAAAAGAGAAACAGACAGUGUAACAAAUCAGAUAUAAAAACCGAAUGGAAACCAUAGCAAAAGGGUUCCUUCUUUUUUAGUGUUUUUAUUUUUUUCAAAUAUUCAGGAAGAAAUCAAUACAUAAGUUAGAUUUCAAUACAUACAAAAGCGGUGAUUCGAACACCCGAAAUCAGAGAAUCAAACAAAUGAAAAUAUCAAACAUCAAAAACCAAUGUGAUUGUUUAUUUUUCGAAUCGAUUUUUUCUUCAUCAUACUCUUAAACAUAUAUAAUAUAUAUACAUACAUAUAUUCGAAAAUAAAAACAAAAAAACAAAAAAAAAAUUACCUUUUCCGGCCACCGUACACGGUGGUCGGCGCCGGCUCUGACGAUCGUCCGAUGACCGGACGGUGACCGGCCCAUGGCCGAAUUCCCUCCCCCUCUCCCUCUUCUCUCCCUUUUUUUUUCUUCUUUCCCCGUUCAAAUGAUUUUUUUUAAAAAAAUUUUGUCUUUUAUAGGGACCAAAACGGUGUGUUUUGGUCCCCUCCAUUUUAACGAAAAACGAUGUCGUUUUGGCCAGGGGUCGAGUCGACCCGACCCACUCCAGCUAGGAUCCGCAUAUUUUUGCUCUUAGGGGCUAUUUGCGCAAUCGGUCAUUCUGCAUUUUUAGUGUUUUAAAUCAGGUUUAUAUUUAUUUACAAAUUGGCCCUGAAGUUUAUUAUGAUUCUCAAAUUGAUCCUCCGUGAUGCGGAUCGUUUUAAAGGUUUUUGAAAAUUACUCUUUUGGCCCCUCCAGGUUACGCACAUGUUGUAAUUUCGUCCUUUUCUUUUAUUUUUAUUUCAAAUCAGCCCUAAAACUUUGGUUUUUAUUCAAUUUUAGUCCUUUUAGUUUAUUUUCAUUCCUUUAUUAUUAAAUUAAUUAAUUUUGAUAAUUUUUUUAUUAUUAUAUUUACUAUUAUUUAUUGUUAUUGGUAUUAUUAUUAUAUGUUUUAUUAUAUACGUAUGAAUAUACUUUUUUUUACCAUUUUACAUUAUUAUAUUUAUUAUUUAUUUCUAACAUAUUAUUAUUUUAUUUUUUUAUAUCAUCAUUAUAUUUAAUUUGUGCUUAUAUGUUAUAUUUUCUCUUUUUACUUUUAUAUUUACUAUUUUCAUUAUAUUUACUUAUUAUUAUUAUUAAUUAUGUAUAUAUAUUUUUAAAUCCCAUGUUAUGUAUAGACAUUUCUAAUAUGUAUUUCUUUAAAUGAUAUUAUUACAUAUAUAUUUUAGUACAUAUAUAUGUGUACUUGUGUGAAUAUUCUUUUAGCAUGUGCUACAUAUAUAUAUAUAUUUUUUAUUCUAGUAUGUAUAUUUCUAAUAUUAUAUUACGUUUUCAUAUAUAUAUUAUGUAUAUACUUUGGUAUCAUAAUUAUAUAUUUUUAUACGAUCUUAUGUACAUAUAUUUACACGCAUAUAUUUUCUUUUAUAUAUUAUGUAUAUGCAUUUUUUAUAUAUGUAUAUGUUUAUACUAUAUUAGUUAGUUUUAUACUAUCUUAUGUGUACAUUUUGAAUACUAUGCUAUGUAUGUAUUCUAAAUACUACAUUUUAUAUAUAUUAUCGUACUUCAAUACUAUUAUUAUGUAAUAUAUAUACAUAUAUACGCCUAUGUAGAUGUAGUAUUAUUAGUAUUUUUAAUAUUACAUUUUCUGUCACCUUACAUAUUAUUAUAUAACAUAUGUAUAUAUAUAAUCCAUUAUUUUCUUUCGUGUUUAAUGUUAUUAUUAUCGUGCAUAAUAUCAAAUACAUCGUGAAUACUUUAUAGUUAUUUUUUUAUCAUCCGCUUCAUGUAUUCGUAAAUCGCCUUUUAUUACAAUAUUGUUAUAAGUUUCUAUUAUUUUUGAUAAAAAAAAUAUUCUUAUUCAUGAUUUAAAUCAAUUUCAAUAAGCAAGGCAACGUACCGAUUUAACAUUAAGUCAUCGCUAUGUUGGGUGAACAUCAAUCGACUCGUGUUAAAGACGGAACACUCUUCUAAAAAAUCCGAAAAACUAAAAAAUUCUCGUCUUUUCAAUCAGAUCACGAUUAAAUGUUACAUUGAACUCGUAUUUUUGAAAAUCAAGACAACAAGUGUUUAACAAGAUACAAAUUUUGGGCGUCGCGAGGGUGCUAACACCUUCCUCGCACGUAACUGACUCCCGAACCCUACUUUUUCUCUGGCUUUUAACGUAGACCUAAACUCUGCCUUCUUUUCAUUUAAAAAAAUGAAUUUUCUCUCAAAAGAAGAAUGAUUUAUUAGGUGUCCGAUCACACCUAGAAAAAAGAUCAGUGGCGACUCCCUCUUUAUUUUAAAAUCAAACUUCAGUUUUCAAGUUUUCACUAAAUCACCACAAUUAGCGACCAAGCUAAAAUUUUUACGUCGCUACAAAAUUAAUAAAACAUGUAAACAUCAAAAACUAAAAUUAAUGUUAUAUUAAUUAAAAUUAUGUGAGGAUGGUGGUUUUUUUUAAAAAAAAUUUAAAAUUAAAAUAUGAAUUUCAUUUCCGCGUAUGUAUAGUUCCUACCUUGCAAGUGGAAUCACAUGAAUGAGUGCCCAACACCAAAAACAGCCAUAAAAUAAGAAUAGCAACAUAUGGUCAAAGGUACCCCAACUUGUGAAUAAGAUAAAAAUAAGUUGUUAAAAACCUUUAAAUUUUUUAUGCUUUCAAUAUCACCAAAUUCAUCUUUUCUCAUUACUGCCAUCAUCAAAUUAUUAUUAUUAUCAUCAUAAUUUUUAUUUAAUUUAAACUUUGAAAAGUGAUCAUAAUUGGUAGAUUUCUAUCGACCUAAUUGUGUUUGUCGGUGUAAAAAAUACAUAAUUUAAAUCUCAUAUGUGUAUUUGUAUUUGUUUUUCUGUAAAUGUUUUGUUGAGAAGUCACAAUCGUAAUUGAUAGUUACAUUUAUAUAUUAGAAAUUGGGAUCUCAAAAGUCUCCUCUUUAUUAUUAAACUAAGCUCUCAUUGGUACCACCAAAAUUUCAUUGGCAUCCUGUUAUGAUUAAUAUUUACUUGAUUUCGAGUAUAAUUUUUUAGAAAACACAAAUAGUAAAUUAAAAAUAACAUAAGCAAUUAUAAAUAUUAUAUUUCAACACCAAUUUUUGAUUUAAUUGGUUUUUAACAGUAAUUAAUUAAUUAAAAUUUUAUAAAAUUAAUAAAAAUAUUAAAAAUUAAUAAAUAGAUUGAACCGUUGAUUUUUUAUUUACCAAUUUAAUCUUGAUCUAAUCAAUCGGGACUAGUUUUAACCACAUUCAUAAUACAAUGGAAUGCAGCUAGAAAACGUGACCUUAAAACAAGGAUCAUGAGCAGGUAAAAUUUGCUUUAGAAAUUGAAAAUAGGAAGGGAACAAAACAUCGUGGAGAGCAAGUCAAAGUGGAAUGCUGGUUUCAAAGAUUUGACAUUUUUAGCUACAUAACUCCUGCAGCUGACAUCGACACCAAAUCCUAGUUUAAACCUCUAAUUAUGUAAUAAGCUGCAAAAUUUCCGCUUCUCAAACAGAUGGCGGGGUAGUGGGGACCUUGCAUUGAUAAGGUUAGGUAAACACAUGAUAGCAAUCGAAAGUACCCGACGCAGUACUAUAUGAAAUUAAUUAAAAUGUUACAUAAAAUAUAAUAUCAUGCAGAAAAAAGAUAUUAAAAGAAUAUGCUAAGAUGUCAAAUUUUAUAUAAUAAAUUAAUAUUUGCGACAUUAUGACAUAUAUUCUAAAAAUAAUGCAAUAUUUAUUUUUGAAAAAAAUCAUAAUAUUUUUUUAUGUAUUGCUUAACUUUGUCUUUACUUGUUUGGCAAAACUAAAGGAGAAUAAAAUUAGUCAGAUAACAAUAAAUUUGAAAAAGAUUGAGAGUGAUAAAAUUGCAUAGUUUUCUAGCCAAUUUUCUUUAAGGUGAUGCAUUUUUUUCCCUCCUUUUUAGUUCAUCUGAAUGACAUUGUAAUUAGCAUUUUGGAGGGAUAUUGCAUUUGGCAUCAUCUAUGUUAUUGAAUUUGAAUUUGUUAGUGUUUGAUAGCAGUAUGAUUUAAAUAUUAAUAUGUUAAAUUUUUUUUUUUUAAAGUUGGAGCAUUGUUGAAGGAUCAUAUCUCAUAUCUAUAUCUAAAAAUGCGUCACAUAGAGUGUCAAACAUGCAUGAAACAUGAAGGGUCAGAGUAACAUACAGCAUUGCCUUACAUUUAUUUGUGUUAUGUUAGGCCAAUAUAAUUGCCACCGUUUCUCCAUGCAUGUAGUGGAACUUAAGUAAUGUUGUGUUGAUUUGGACCUAUUUUGGAUGAACAAAUGGCAUGCACAUGCGUGAGAAUACAAGAAUGUCUAUGAUAAGUAAUCCUGCAGUUUGCAUUUGGAAUAUAUCUGUUGAAAUCAGGAUAUUGCUCAUUGAGAAACAAGAAGACAUAAAAUAAGCAUUCCAAUGAGUACUGCCAUUGGCAUUCUCGCUGGUAAAAGAAAACAUUACAACAUGACAUACAAGAAAAUGGAACAUGAGUAGGAAGCAACUCUUAUUGUAUAGAUACUAAUUUUUCUAUAUAGCCAUAGUAGCUCAGUUCUUGGGAUGGCUAGCCGAUGGGAUCUCUCUAUUGAGGCUUCCCCAAUGGAGGGUGUCCUGGAUAGUGACCGUAUGGUGGUUUCUUGGGAGACUCAUGUACCGGUGGUUUAGAUUUUGGCUUCUCUUUCUUUGGUGGUGUGUAAACCGGUGGCUUUGGUGGUUUAGGCUCAUAAACCGGUGGCUUCUUCGGAGGCUGAUAAACUGGUGGUUUGGGUUCUGGUUUUUCUUUCUUUGGAGGUGCAUAAACUGGUGGCUUUGGCUCGGGCUUUUCCUUCUUUGGCGGUUCAUACACUGGUGGCUUAGGUUCAAGCUUCUCUUUCUUUGGUGGUGUAUAAACUGGUGGCUUAGGCUCAGGCUUUUCCUUCUUUGGUGGUUCAUACACUGGUGGCUUGGGUUCAGGCUUCUCUUUCUUUGGUGGUGUAUAAACUGGUGGCUUAGGCUCAGGCUUUUCCUUCUUUGGUGGUUCAUAUACUGAUGGUUUGGGUUCAGGCUUCUCUUUCUUUGGAGGUGUAUAAACUGGUGGCUUUGGUUCGGACUUUUCCUUCUUUGGUGGUUCAUACAUCGGUGGCUUGGGUUCAGGUUUUUCUUUCUUUGGAGGUUCAUAGACAGGUGGCUUAUGUUCAGGUUUUUCUUUCUUUGGAGGUUCAUAGACAGGUGGCUUAUGUUCAUAAGGUGGGGGUUUCACCUUAGGAGGCUUAUAAACAGGAGUAGGGGG
rnacentral:lncRNA from 1 species